rnacentral:rRNA from 1 species
AUUGAACGCUGGCGGCGUGCCUUACACAUGCAAGUCGAACGGUAUCUUGUCUUCUGAUGCUGACGAGUGGCGAACGGUGUGAGUAAUACAUCGGAACGUGCCCGAUCGCGGGGGGUAACUGAGCGAAAGCUUUGCUAAUACCGCAUUCAAUCUACGGAUGAUAGCGGGGGACCUCUUGGCCUUGUGCGAACGGAGCGGCCGAUGUGCUAUUAGGUAGUUGGUGGGAUAAAAGCUUACCUGGCCAACUAUCUGUUCCUGGUCGGACAGGACGACCACUCGCCCUGGAACUGAAACACUGCCCAUACUCCUGCGGGAGGCACCAGAGGGGAAUUUUGGACAAUGGGCGAAAGUCUGAUCCAGUCGUGCCACGUGUGAGAGAAAGGCCUUCCGGGUGUAAUCUGCUUUUGUACGGAGCGAACUCACUCUGGUUAAUACCUGGGGUCACUGACUGUCUCCUCAUAAUUUGCUCCGGCUAAAUAAGUGCCGGACGGCUCGGUCUUUCCUAGGGUGCACGCGUUUAUCGAAGUUUCUGGCCGUGUAGCGAGUGCUUGCGGUUAUAUAAUAUGUAUGUGACAUCCUCGGUCUCGAGCGAAGAACUGCAUUUGUGACUGUAUAGCUAGACUACGGCAAAAGGGGAUGGAAUUCCUCGUGUAGCAGUGAAAUGCGUAGAUAUGCUGAGGAACACCGAUGGCGAAGGCAAUCCCCUGGGCCUGUACUGACGCUCAUGCACGAAAGCGUGGGGAGCAAACAGGAUUAGAUACCCUGGUAGUCCUCGCCCUAAACGAUGUCAUUUGGUUGUUGGGUCUCCGGAGAUUCAGUAAUGAAGGCUAACGCGUGAAGUGGACCGCCUGGGGAGUACGGCUGCAAGGUUGAAACUCAAAGGAAUUGUCGGGGACCCCCACAAGCGGUGGAUGAUGUGGUCUAGUUGGACGCAACGCGAAAAACCCUACCCUCUUUUGACAGGUGCGGAAUCCUUUAUAGAUAGAGGAGUGCUUGAAAGAGAGCCGUCACACAGGUGGUGCAUGGCUGUCGUCAGAUGGUGUCGUGAGAUGUUGGGUUAAGUCCCGCAACGAGCGCAACCCUCGCCAUUAGUUGAUGCGAGGGCCAUUCUAAUGGGACUCCCGGUGACAAACCGGAGGGAGGUGGGGAGGACGUCAAGUCCUCAUGGCCCUUAUAGCAGGGGCUCCCCACGUCAUCCAAUGGCUGGUCCAGAGGGUCGCCAACCCGCGAGGGGGAGCUAAUCCCAUAAAGCCAGUUCUAUUCCGGAUGGCAUUUUGCAAUUGGUUCGAGGGAAGUGGGAAUCGUUAGUAAUCGCGGAUCAGAAUGUCGCGGUGAAUACGUUCCCGGGUCU